AUAUCUAUAGUUUAUCCACUUUUAAUUAAGCUAACUUUUAACCAUAGUGCUCUUUAAAAAAGAAAUUGUUUCAGAUCUGUUAUUACCCGACUUUAGCCUUGCCAAGUGGCCAAUAUUUCUAGCUUCUGAACUUUACCAAAGAUAACCUCCUAGGUGCUUAGAGAAAGGAAAAUUUAAGACAGUCCUCAGAGGGGAAGAGAAUAGACAAAGUCACACAGAUAUUAAACCAGAAAUGACUUACUUUCUAGGUGGGGAAUUGAACCCGGACCGCCACUGUUAAAGUGCAGAACCCUAGCUACUGAAUUACAGGACGGGGCAGUCUCUAUUCCCUUUCCCAGAAGAAGUCUAGGGUAGUUAAUUUUGAGCUUGCAAAGACUUUUUAACUAUGUCAUAUGAUUUUUAGAGCUAACUAUGACAUAAACCCUAAAAUUUCUGUUUCUUAGAAGGCGAAGACCAAGAGAAUGUACUUCCACGUGGUUAAAAGGUCAAGCUCCCAAGGACUUAAAAGAAGGGACCUGCAGCCAAGUUUGUUACUGAUGAGCUUGCUGGGUCAUCUUGAAAAGCAGGCUUACAGGUAUUCUAAGCCCAUGUUUUAUCCUGAAGUACCCCUCAACACAGAAAAAUUAAUUCAUGGCACGAAAUACACCAGCUUAAGACUAGCCUUAGAAUUCUUUUUCACACUAAUUACAAACUUCUCAGAGGAGAUAAACUCUGAAUUUUUUUUUCUAUUCGUUCAACCAUUUGCAUAGAAAGAUAGAAGCCAGAAAUCUGGUAAGAAAUUCUUACCCUUCUGCCGGCAUGCCAGGCUUCUGGGUUCCCUUUCCCUGACCAGCACUAAUGAUCCAGCUUGUGGCACCAUCGCCUUGGGGGCCAAGCCACAUUGUAAAGGAAAAUCGUUAUUUUUUUUUGUUCUGGCCAGAGCAAAAUACGUGUGAUAAAACAUAGACAUUAGCCACUCUGCUUAGUACCCAAUAUCAAACUGGCAAGGCUUACAUUUGCCCCACAUGGGCCCCUUCAUCUUUAAUCCAACCUCCGACUUGGAGUUUCAGCACGUGGUCUCUAGGCAAGAUGGUUGCCCUGAAUAACAAAAAAGACGGGAAAGGAGAGAAGGAAAAUUAUUGCCUCUAGUAGGGUGGGACAGGUGAAAUGCUCAGGGAGGCCAGAGAAAGACCCACCCAUUGCAGCGACACUGAAAAGUUCAGGUGGCUGCUUCUUGGUAGCAAAGGGAUCUUUUCCAGCAAUCCUAUUAGCUCUCAACUUUCCCCUUUUAGGGAAGAAAAAGCUUCCCAUGUCCCACGAUCCUGUACAUGCCUAACCCUGUCACCCACAGCCAUUAGCAAAGAGUACAAGGCAGAUUAAUCCAAAGAGAAUAGCAGUUAACAUCUGGUAGUGCCAAACCUGUUGUUAACCAAGGUGGACUUUACUGAGAGGGGCCUCUAACCCCCUAAAUCUUAGAAGAGACUCUAACCCUCCAAAGUUGUGCCUCUAACCCAAGGUUGGUCAAGCGUCCUUGCCUUUUAUUGAGAGGAGCAUUUAACCCACUCUGUUUUAGGAGAGUCUCUAACUUCCCUAAGUUGGGCCUCUAACCCAAUCCCAUUCUUUACCCGGGUACCCAACCACUUACCCAAAGUCGUCCAAUUAGUGCUGCAGUCUACUUCCUUUGGGUCAGGGGUCUCCUCAAUAUCGUCUCUUCUGUGGUUCACCAGAAAUAUGUUGCAGGAUCCGAACACUUACCCAAAUGGAGCUGUUGGGUCCGGGUUUCUGCACUAUAGUCCCUUCUGUGGUUACCAGAAAUACAUUACCAGAAAGGGGUCCUGAUCCAGACCCCAAGAGAGGGUUCUAGGAUCUCACACAAGAAAGAAUUCAGGGCAAGUCUGCAGUUCAAAGUGAAGGCAAGUUUAUUAAGAAAGUAAAGGAAUAAAAGAAUGUUACUCCAUAGACAGAGCAGUCCUGAGGGGGGCUGGUUGCCUGUUUUUAUGGUUAUUUUCUGACAAUAAACUGAACAAAGGGUGGAUUAUUCAUGCCUCCCCUUUUUAGACCAUAUAGGGUAACUUCCUGACAUUGCCAUGGCAUUUGUAAACUGUCAGGGCUCUGGUGGGAUUGUAGCAGUGAGGACAACCGGAGAUCACUCUCGUGACCAUUUUGGUUUUGGUGGAUUUUGGCUGGCUCCUUUACUGCAAACUGUUUUAUCAGCAAGGUCUUUUUGACCUGUAUUUUGUGCUGACCUCCCGUCUCAUCCUGUGACUUAGAAUGCCUUAACCAUCUGGGAAUGCAGCCCAGUAGGUUUCAGCCUCAUUUUACCCAGCUCCUCUUUAAGAUGGAGUUGCUCUGGUUUAUACGCCCCGACAACGGUACCAAGUUAGGUUGAAGACUAUGUUGAGGAACAGAUUCAGCAGGAAAACUGUGAGCUUCACUACUAAAUAGGAUAUUUUGUUACCGACAUCCACUCCUUUAUACAACUGAAUAAAGAUGUUAAUUUAGUGGUCAACCAUGAUUGACAAUUUUUAUUGCUAUAGAAAAAACUUUCAUGUUGAGUCUGGGUAAACUACUAUUUUUUAAAAAAUGCAGUAUUUCUGAAGCUUAACACAAAAGUUUCUCACUGAAUAAUCAUCUGGCAUGUAUGUUACUAAGCUGGCAGCUCUCCUCAGGGGCUCUCCUCACGCAGGCGUCUGCCAUUAUGUGGCUCUGUCCUCUAGGUCGUUACUCAGACAAUAGAGGUUAGCACAUGGGAGGGUUUUAUGGAUCAUGCCUGGAGAUGGCUUUUGUCAUUUGUAUCCACAGUCCAUUGCCCAGAAUGCAGUUGUGGCCAUGCCUAAUUGCAAAGGAAGUUAGGAAAUAUAGUCUAGCUAUGUGUAUAGGAAGGAAAGGGAGAUAGUUCAGUCCAUAAAUAAACACUGCCACAGGAUAGAUUCCCAGUAUGUACAACAGUGAGCUUUAUUCCUAUCUAGUCUGUCAUUAUGAAUAAUGUAAGCACAGAUCGAUUGUUGGUUCUAACCAGAAAUGUUAGAUUUCAAGUCAGUUUGAAAAUUAUAUGAUGGUCAAUGUCUUAGUCACCCUGGGUGGCUAUAACAAAAGUGACAUAGACUCAUUAUUACACUCAUCACUACUACUCAUUAUGACACCACCAGCUUUUCUGGGUUUCUAGCUUACAGAGGGCAGACUGUAGGACUUCUCAGCCUUCAUAGUCAUAUGCGCUACAUUCUUAUAAUCUCUUCUAUGUCUCCAUCGAUGUGUCUGUAUCUAACUACUAUUCUUUUUCUCUAGAGAACCCUAACACAGUCAACAUUAAAAAAAUUGACACAUACUAAUUGUACACAUUUAUGGGGUGCAUAAUGAUGUUUUGAUGCAUACAGUAUUCAUCACCUCAAACAUUUAUCAAAUGAAAGUAAUUUAGCACAUCCAUCACCUCAAACAUUUAUCAUUUGUUUAUUUUGGGAAACAUUCAAAGUCCUGUUUUCUAGCUAUUUGAAAAAUAUAUAAUACAUUAUUGUUAACUAUAGUCACCCUACAGUGGUAUAGAACAGCACAACUUAUUUCUUCUAUGUAGCUGUAAUUUUGUAUCUUUUAACCAGUAUUUCCCUGUUCCCCCACCCCGACCCUUCCCAUCCUCUAGUAAUUACUAUUCUAUACUCUACUUCUUUGAGAUCAACUUUCCUAGCUAUGGCAUAUGAGUGAAACAUGAGAUAUUGAUCUUUCUGUUCCUGGUUUAUUUUACCCAACAUAAUGUCCUCCAGGCUCAUCCAUAUUGCUGUGAAUGACAUGAUUUCAUUCUUUUUUAUGGCUGAAUAGUGUUCCAUGUGUAUAUAUUUUAUUGAUUUAUAUGUUAAUGAGCACUUAGGUUGAUUUCAUAUUUUGGCUAUUGUGUGAGUAGUGCUGCAAUAAACAUGGGGUUGCAGAUAUUUCUUCGAUAUACUCAUUUCCUUUCUUUUGGAUAUGCAUGAGUUCAUUCUCACAUUGCUAUAAAAAACUGUCUGAGAUUGGGUAGUUUAUAAAGAAAAGAGGUUUAAUUGACUCACAGUUCCAAAGAUUGUACAGAAAGCAUUGCUGGGGAGACCUCAGGAAGCUAACAAUCAUGGUGGAAAGGUAAGAGGAAGGAGGAACGUCUUCACCUGGCCAGAGCAGGAGGAAGAGAGAGAAGGGGGAGGUGCUACAAACUUUUUUAAACAGAGAAAUACAGAUCUCAUGAGAACUCACUAUCAUGAGAAUAACAAGGGGGAAAUCCUCCCCCAUGAUCCAAUCACCUCCUACACAGGCCCCUCCUCCAACACGAGAGAUUACCAUUUGAGGUGAGAUUUGGGAGGGGACACAAAUCCAAAUUAGGAGAUAUACCCAGUAGUGGGAUUGCUGGCUCAUAUGGUACUUCUAUUUGUAGUUUUUUGAGGAAUCUUUAUACUGUUCUCCAUAAUAGCUGUACUAGUUUACACUCCCACCAACAUUUUAUAAGAGUUCCCUUUUCUUGGCAUCCUUGCCAGCAUUUGUUAUGUUUUGUCUUUUUGAUAAUAACCGUUCUAAGGUGAAAUGAUACUUCAUUGUGGUUUUGAUUUUCAUUGCCCUGAUUAGUGAUGUUGAUGUUGAGCAUUUUUCAUAUGCUUAUUAGUCGUUUCUAUAUCUUCUUCUAAGAAAUAUCUAUUCAGUUCAUUUGUCCAGUUUUUUGAAUCAGAUUUUUUUUGAGUUUCUUAUAUAUUCUUAGAUAUUCUAGAUAUUAACUCCUUGUCAGAUGAGUAGUUUGCUAAUAUUUUCUUCCAUUCUGUAGUUUGCCUUUUCACUCUGUUGGUUGUUUCCUUUGAUGUGCAAAAGCUUUCAGUUUGAUUUAAUCCCAUUUGUCUAUUUUUGCUUCUUUUGCCUGUGCUUUUGAAGUCUUAUUUAUAAUGUCUUAUCUCAGACCAAUGUCCUGAAGUGUUUCCUCUAAGUUUUCUUAUAAUAGAUUCAUAGUUUGGGGUCUUACAUUUAAGUCUUUAAUCCAUUUUGAGUUGAUUUUUGUAUUAAUGGGAGAGAUAGGGACCUAGUUUCAUUCUUGUGCAUAUGUAUACCAGUUUUACCAGAACCAUAUAUUGAGGAGACUGUCCUUUCCUCAAUAAAUGUUGUUGGCACAUUUGUCAAAUAUCAGUUGACUGUAAAUAAAUAAAUUUAUUUCUGGAAGCUCUAUUCUGUUUCAUUGGUCUAUGUGUCUAAUUUUAUACCAAUACUAUGUUGUUUUGAUUACUAUAGUCUUGUAAUAUAUUUUGAGGUCAGGUAGUGUGACACCUCCAGCUUUGUUCUGUUUACUCAGGAUUGCUUUGGUUAUUUGGGCUCUUUUUUGGUUCCAUACAAAUUUUAGGAUUUAAAAAAAAUUUUCUGUGAAGAGUGUUAUUGGUGUUUUGAUUGGGAUUGGAUUGAAUCUGUAGAUUGCGUUGGGUAGUAUUGAAGCAGGAUAUUUCCCUGACCCCCUCGUAGGUGGGACCUGGAGUGCACAGGUGCUGGAACUAGCUGGCCACUUUGGCACCAGCAGGGGUGAGCUCCACUCAGUGGCUGCUCCACCCCUUGCUAGUGGGGAGUGCUGGUGAGUGAGUGCAGGGGCUGGGGUGAGGGCUUUUGGGUGCCAGCAGGAGCAGACCCUGUACUGGUCCUGCGGCAGUGCCUGGGGGCAGUGCUUUUGACCCCUGAAACCCCAGAGGAAGUGUUAGGCUACCCUUUUAGUUCUGCCAUCUGUGGACAGCUUAAGUGUUAACAGCUCAGUGGAGGAUUAGUGUGAUAGCCUUUUGCACCUGCACUCAGGGUACCUGAGUUUUUGUCAGGCGUCCAGGAGGAAUGAGGUUGCAAGAACAAAUUGAAGAUGGUAAAUGCGAGGGAUUUUAUUGCUGUUGAAAGUGGCUUUUUCAGCGGGAAGGGGAGCCAAAAAGGGGAUGGAGCAGGAAGAUAAUCUUCCCCUGAAGUCUGGCGGUCCUGGCUGGACUCCUUUCUGAAGCUACGCCAUCAAGCUGUCCUGAAGGCAAGCUGCUUCUCUCUGACAUCCAGCCAUAGACUCUGAUAUUCUGCUGCUUCUCCUCACUGCUGGCUGAGUUCUGGGGAUUUUGUAGGCACAGGAUGGGGGACAGGGUGGGCCAUGGAUGGUUUUUGAAAAGGUAACAUUCAAGUGGGAAAGCAGGGAUGUACAUUUUCACUUUGGGCUGCGGUUCCAGGUUUUUCAGCUUGAGGUUAUGGCCCUCACUGGGGACUUGCCCUCUUCUGCCCAGAAUUUUCCUGCCUCCUGUCCCUAUCACUAUGGUCAUUUUAAUUAACUAAUUUUUUCAGUCCAAGAACAUAGCAUGCCUUCCAGUUUUUUUUGUGUGGUGUGUCCUCUUCAAUAUUUUUCAUCAGUAUUUUAUAGUUUUUCUUGUAGAGAUCUUUUACCUCCUUAGUUAAAUUUAUUCCUAGGUAUUUAUUUUUUGUGGCCACUAACACAGUCAACAUUUUGAUGUAUAUUUGCAAAGAAUUCAGUAAGUAAAUAAAAAAGUAGUAUCUAUUAUAAUGGCCUAUAAUAUUUAUAUUAGAAAUGAUUGUAUUGGCAUGCUCAUUUUCUAAAAGUUUGACUUGGUCAUAGUAAUGUUGCAACAUUGAACUUAUAAUUACAAUUUAUUAAAUUUGUAGCAAAUAAAUGGCCUUGGAGCUGUUUCUUAAAAUUGUGUUUUAUUAUUUAAUAUACAGUAAAAUGCACAUAUGUUAUGUGUAUGGCUUGCUGAACUGUCACAUAUGUUAACAAUCAUUUAAGUACCACCUAUAUCAGGUGUAGAAUAUCGCCAGUGCUCCAGCAAGCUCCCUUGUGACCCCCUCUAGUCAAUAUGUUCCCCAAAGGUCACCACCAUUCUAACCUCCAUCACCAUAUGUUAGCUUACUUUUUGUUUGCACACUUUACAGGUAGAAUAGUACUCUGUAUAUCUUACAUCUUUUUUGUGUUUGUUUUCUUUUGUUCAACACUAUGAUAUUUAUCCGUACUGUGUUUAGCAGGAAUUCAUUCUUUUUCUAUUGUGAUAUUCUAAUAUUUGACUAUCAAAACUUCCAUUCUUGUAUAUUGAACAUUCUUACAUUUGUCUGUUGGUGGACAUAAGGACUCAUUUCUCUUGGAUAUAUGCUGAGAUCAUAGAACAUCUACUUGUUUAAAAUAGUUAAACCACUCACAUCAGCAAUGUAUGAAUUCUAGCUACUCCACAUCGUCACCAGUAUUAGCCAUCUGGUAGAGGCAGAAUAAUAUUUCAUUGGUUGUAACUUGCAUUUUCUUGAUGGUUAAUGAUGUUGUGUACCUUUUCAAAUGCUCAUUGGUCAUUUGGAUAUUUUGUUCGGUGCUUGUUCAAGGCUUGUUAAAAAAAUUGAGUUGUCAGUCUUUUUUCUUAUAAAAGGCCUUUGUCAGAUAUAUCAGUUUUAAAUAUUUAUUCCAGUCUCAGGCUUGCCUUUUAAAUCUCUUAAUGUAUUUUGUUGAAUAAAAGUUCUUAAUUUUAAUGAAGUUCAGUAUAUCAAUCUUUUAUCUUAUGGUUAGCAUUUAAUGUCUUAUGUUUAAAAAAUCGUUGUCUACCACAAGAUUAUGAUGUUAUUCUCUGUAUUUCAUUCUAGAAGCUUGAUUGUUUUAGCACUCACAUUUAGAACUUUAAUCUGCCUUAAAUUAUUUUUUGUAGUUUGACUGAGGUAAGAAAGUUCUAUGUCUGACUUUCUGGCGGUAUCACAUUAUUUUGAUUACUGUAGUACUGUAAUAAGUUUUGAAAUAAGAAAGUGUGAGACCUCCAACUUUGUUCUUCUUUUUCAAGAUUGCUGUAUUAGUUUGCUAAGGCUGCCAUAACAAAAUAUCACAGACUCCGUGGCUUAACCCACAGACAUUUAUUUUCUCAGCUCAGGCCAGAAGUUUAAGUUCAAGGUGGGCAGGCUUGUUGGCUGCAGAGGCCUCUGUCUUUACUUGCAAAUGACCACCUUCUUGCUUUGUUCUCACAUGGCCUUUCCUCUGUAGACUCACAUCUCUGGUGUCCUUCAAUGUAUCAAGUUUUUAUCUUUUUAUAAGGACACAAUUCUGAUUGUAUUAGAGCCCACACUAAAGGCAUCAUUUUAACUUAAUCACACUUUUAAAGUUUCUGUCUCCAAAUACAGUCAUAUUCUGAGGUACUGAGAUUUAGGGCUUUAAUAUACAAAUUGUGGGUGGUCACAGUUCAGCAAAUAACAAUCGCUUAGGCUAUUUGGAGUCCCUUGAGAUUCCAUAUGAAUUUUAGGAAGGGGUUUUCUCUUUUUUAUAAAAAAUGCUGCUGGGAUUUUGAUAUGAAUUACAUUCAGUCUAGAGAUCACUGGGUAACGAUGACAUCUUAACAAUGUUAAGUCUUCCAAUCCAUUAACAGGGAUGUCUUUCCAUGUUUAUCUGUGUCAUCUUUAGUUUCUUUCAUCAAUGUGGUACAGUUUUCAGUGUACAAAUCUUUCACUUCCUUGGUUAAAUUUAUUUCUAAUUAUUUUAUUGUUUUUGAUGUUAGUAUAAAUGGGAUUGCUCUCUUAAUUUUCUCUUCAGAUUAUUCAUUGUUAGCAUAUAGAAAUGCAACUGAUUUUUGCAUGUUGAUUUUGUACCUUGCAGCUUUGCUGAUUUCAUUUAGAGUUUUCCCCAUGUACAGUCAUGUCAUCUUUGAAUAGAGGUAAUUUUACUUCCUUUCCAAUUUGUAUACCUUUUAUUUCUUGCCUAAUUGCUCUGGCUAGGACUGCCAGUAUUACGUUGAAUAGAAGUGGUGAAAGCAAGAAUCUUUGUCUUGUUCCUGAUCUUAGAGGAAAAGUUUUUAAUUCUUUUACAAUUCACUAUGAUGUUAGCUGUGGGCUUUGUACAUAUGGUCUUUAUUAUGUUGAGAUACUUUCCUUCUGUUCUUAGUGUGUUGAUAGUAUAUAUCAUGAAAAAGUGCUGAAUUUUGUUAAAUACUUUUUUUGUAUCAAUUGAGAUGACAACAUUAUUUUCUUUCAUUCUGUUACUAUGACAUUAAUUUGCAUAUGUUGAACUAUCCUUGUAUUACAGGAAUAAAUCUCAGUUGUUUUGGUGUCAAAUCAGUUCAAUAUGCUUUAACUGGUAUUUUGAUCAAGAUUUUUGCCUCAAUAGUCAUCCUUUAUUUCUCCUUUUAAUAUAUUAGAGUUAGGUGUUUUAUAGAUACCUUUUAUGAUAUUAGGAAAAUUUUCUUAUCCUUAGUUUGCUUAGUUUUUACUAUGAAUGGAAUUUAGAUUUUAUUAAGUGCCUUUUCUGUAUUUAUUAAAAUGUUUUUUUUCCUAUUUUACUGUUACUAUUGUCAAGCACAUUGAGUGAAAGUUGAAUGUUUAACCUUGCAUUCCUGGAAUAAACAGUUUGAUCAUAAAA